rnacentral:tRNA from 1 species
CAGAGAUUAGUUUAAUAAAAAUAUUAAUUUUGGAGAUUAAAGUUGGGGGUACUCUCUUUCUCUGA